GGCCCGCGCCCACACCCUCUGUGAGGCGGUGACCGUGAUGUCACAGUGGGUGUCACAGAGCGGCCAUUGUGACGCGUGAAGCUUGGAGCAGAGCAAAGGCUGCCGGGCUCAGGCCGAGCGUCAGUGCGGUCUGGUGAGGCGCAGAGAGAGCAGGGACUCUCGCAGUGCUCGCUAUCAACGCACAAUCAUGUCCAAGAGGAAGAGGAAGGCCUCCAGCACGGAGGCGCCAGUGUGUGUGCUGUGUGGCCGGGCAGAUGUCGACCCGGACGCCUUCGGGCACAUGCUGUCUGAAAGUGGGAUUCAUGUCCACGAGUUAUGCUUGUCGUUUGCCAACAUCACUUCUGAAGUAGCAAGACUAAGGCUGUCGGGAAGUGAGGGCCUCCC